GGCUCAAUGGUCUAGUAGUAUGAUUCCUUCUUCGGGUAUAUCCGGAAUUGGAGGAGGUCCCGGGUUCAAUUCCCGGUUGAGCCC